rnacentral:ncRNA from 1 species
AAUAAGCUUUUGUUUAGCUUAAAAAAUUAUUAGUUAAUUUUUUUACAUGUAAAUUUUUUAUUAUUAUAUAUUAAAAAUGUUUAAUUUUUUUUUCAGUAAUUUAUUUUAAAUAUAAAAGUAAUUUUGAUUUAGAAAUUUAAUUUAUUAUUAACAAAAUUUGUGCCAGCAGUUUCGGUUAUACAUAUAAUAAUAAUAAUUUAAUAUCUAAAGUAAUUAUUUGUUUAAUAAUAAUUGAAAUAAAAAUUUAUUAGGUGAAAUUUUAAAUUUUUAUUAAUUUUAUUUUAAAUAUAGGAUUUAUUAAAUUUUAUAAAAAACUAGGAUUAGAUACCCUAUUAUAUAAAUGUAAAUUAGGUUUAGGAUUAGUAUUAGUUAUUUCUUGAAAAUUAAAAAUUUUGGCGGUAUUUUAGUCUAUUUAGAGGAACCUGUUCUGUAAUUGAUAUUCCACGAUUAAAAUUACUUAUUUUUUAAGUUUGUAUAUCAUCGUAGUUUGAUUAUUCUAUUAGGACAAUAAUAUUCAAAAUUUAGUAGUUUAAAUUAUAUCAGAUCAAGGUGCAGUUUAUAAAUAAGUAGAAAUGGGUUACAUUAAAUUAAUUUAGGGAUUAAAUUUUUAAAUAUUUAUAAAUUUGGAUUUAAUAGUAAUAAAAUUGAUUUAAAUUUUAUGAUUUUAGCUCUAAAAUAUGCACAUAUUGCCCGUCGCUCUCAUUUAAAUUGAGAUAAGUCGUAACAAAGUAGAUGUACUGGAAAGUGUCUCUAGAAUGUA